GGCUUAGAAGCAGCCACUCAUUAAAAGAGUGCGUAAUAGCUCACUGGUCGAGUGACCCUGCGCCGAAAAUUCAACGGGGCUAAACAAUAUACCGAAGCUUGGGAUUCUAAAGUAAUUUAGAGUGGUAGGAGAGCGUCGAAUAAGGGGUGAAGUCAGAGCGGAAGCGCUGGUGGACUUUAUUCGAGUGAGAAUGCCGGAAUGAGUAGCGAGAAUUAUGUGAGAAUCAUAAUGGCCGAAAAUCUAAGGUUUCCUGAGGAAGGUUCGUCCGCUCAGGGUAAGCCGGGGGCUAAGGCGAGGCGGAGACGCGUAGCCGAUGCACAUACGGUUGAAAUUCCGUAGCCACCGAAAGAUUUAAAUACAGGGACGCUUUAGAAGUGAUGUUGCCGGGCGAUGGUUGACCCGGUCGUAAGGGAUCGAAAAUGAGUAGAGAAGUCAUCAUGGAAAGAGACAAGAAAAGCUGUAUGGAUAUCUUAGGUGCCCGUACCGCAAACCGACACAGGUAGAUAGGAAGAAGAUUCUAAGGCCAACGGGAGAAGGGUUGUUAAGGAACUCGGCAAGUUGACCCCGUAACUUAGGGAUAAGGGGUGCUCAAGUGAUUGAGCCGCAGAGAAUAGGCCCAGGCGACUGUUUAGCAAAAACACAGGUCUCUGCUAAAUCGAAAGAUGACGUAUAGGGGCUGACACCUGCCCGGUGCCGGAAGGUUAAGAGGAGAUGUGAGAGCAUUGAAUUGAAGCCCCGGUAAACGGCGGCCGUAACUAUAACGGUCCUAAGGUAGCGAAAUUCCUUGUCAGGUAAGUUCUGACCCGCACGAAAGGUGUAACGAUCUGGGCACUGUCUCAACAACCCGCCCGGCGAAAUUGUAGUACCGGUGAAGAUGCCGGUUACCCGCGACUAGACGGAAAGACCCCAUGGAGCUUUACUGUAGCCUAAUAUUGGAUUUCGGUAUUUCACGUACAGGAUAGGUGGGAGACUGGGAAGCACAGGCGUCAGCUUGUGUGGAGUCGACCUUGGGAUACCACUCUUGGAGUGCUGGAAUUCUAACCUGCGGCUUUGAAGCAAGUCGGGGGACAUUGUUAGGUGGGCAGUUUGACUGGGGCGGUCGCCUCCUAAAGAGUAACGGAGGCGCUCAAAGGUUCGCUCUGCAUGGAUGGAAACCAUGCGUCAGAGUGUAAACGCAAAAGCGAGCCUAACUGCGAGAAUGACGGUUCGAGCAGUAACGAAAGUUGGAGUUAGUGAUCCGGCGGUAUGUGAAUGGAAAUGCCGUCGCUCAACGGAUAAAAGCUACCCUGGGGAUAACAGGCUGAUCUCCCCCAAGAGUCCACAUCGACGGGGAGGUUUGGCACCUCGAUGUCGGCUCAUCGCAUCCUGGGGCUGAAUUCGGUCCCAAGGGUUUGGCUGUUCGCCAAUUAAAGCGGUACGCGAGCUGGGUUCAGAACGUCGUGAGACAGUUCGGUCCCUAUCUGUCGUGGGCGUAGGAUAUUUGCAAGGAGCUGUCCCUAGUACGAGAGGACCGGGAUGGACGCACCUCUGGUGCACCAGUUGUCACGCCAGUGGCACAGCUGGGCAGCUAUGUGCGGAACGGAUAAACGCUGAAGGCAUCUAAGCGUGAAGCCGCCCUUAAGAUAAGAUAUCCCUUCUGUUUACAGAGUAAGACCCCUUGAAGACUACAAGGUUGAUAGGCUCAAAGUGUAAGCACGGUGACGUGUUUAGCUAGCGAGUACUAAUCGGUCGAGGGCUUAACCUU
rnacentral:rRNA from 1 species